CAUUUAGUAUGAGGGUGCCACCUGGAAAAUACAUGUUUAAUGUUUAUUGAAAGGUUAAAUUGCGUAAGGGUUUGUGUUAGACUGAUAGCAUAUCUACUGAAUAGUGCCCCCGCCCUGCCACCAAGUUUCUGAUUCUUUUUCUUUUCUCUCAGAAUCAUCAGACUCAGGUACAUCUGUGAGUGAGAACAGGUGUCACCUUGAAGGUGGGCGUGAUCAAAAGGACCUUGUGCAAGAGCUUCAGGAAGAGAAACCUUCAUCUUCACAUUUGGUUUCUAGACCAUCUACCUCAUCCAGAAGGAGAGCAAUUAGUGAGACAGGUAUAUAUGAGUAUUUAUUCGACGCAUUCACACAGCUUUUUGAUAUUCUUUCUCUAAUGAAAUUAGUGCUUUUAGACUUAAUUAAAUUGUUCCCUUUUUUUGGUUGA
rnacentral:sRNA from 1 species